CGGUAAUACGUAGGUGGCAAGCGUUAUCCGGAUUUAUUGGGCGUAAAGCGAGCGCAGGCGGUUGCUUAGGUCUGAUGUGAAAGCUUUCGGCUUAACCGAAGAAGUGCAUCGGAAACCGGGCGACUUGAGUGCAGAAGAGGACAGUGGAACUCCAUGUGUAGCGGUGGAAUGCGUAGAUAUAUGGAAGAACACCAGUGGCGAAGGCGGCUGUCUGGUCUGCAACUGACGCUGAGGCUCGAAAGCAUGGGUAGCGAACAGGAUUAGAUACCCUGGUAGUCCAUGCCGUAAACGAUGAGUGCUAGGUGUUGGAGGGUUUCCGCCCUUCAGUGCCGGAGCUAACGCAUUAAGCACUCCGCCUGGGGAGUACGACCGCAAGGUUGAAACUCAAAGGAAUUGACGGGGGCCCGCACAAGCGGUGGAGCAUGUGGUUUAAUUCGAAGCUACGCGAAGAACCUUACCAGGUCUUGACAUCUUGCGCUAACCUUAGAGAUAAGGCGUUCCCUUCGGGGACGCAAUGACAGGUGGUGCAUGGUCGUCGUCAGCUCGUGUCGUGAGAUGUUGGGUUAAGUCCCGCAACGAGCGCAACCCUUGUUACUAGUUGCCAGCAUUAAGUUGGGCACUCUAGUGAGACUGCCGGUGACAAACCGGAGGAAGGUGGGGACGACGUCAGAUCAUCAUGCCCCUUAUGACCUGGGCUACACACGUGCUACAAUGGACGGUACAACGAGUCGCAAGCUCGCGAGAGUAAGCUAAUCUCUUAAAGCCGUUCUCAGUUCGGACUGUAGGCUGCAACUCGCCUACACGAAGUCGGAAUCGCUAGUAAUCGCGGAUCAGCAUGCCGCGGUGAAUACGUUCCCGGGCCUUGUACACACCGCCCGUCACACCAUGGGAGUUUGUAACGCCCAAAGUCGGUGGCCUAACC
rnacentral:rRNA from 2 species